CGCCCCCCAAAUCCCCCUCCUUUAGAAGAACUGGCUCUUCAUUUUUGUGAUGUGUCGUCUCAGCGCGAGCUGGCUUUAUGAGCCGAUUCUUUGUAAUGCCAGAAGAGUCGGCUCCCACCAGCGAGCCGACUCUACAGAAGGGGCGGGAUUUUAUUUUGAUAGGCACAUCAUGUGGCCAAUCACAAAUUGAAAAUAUUAGCUUACGUCAGAGUUCUGUGGAGACCAGUGUUGCCAUGUCAGCUUGUUUUGAGGGACUUUGGGCUUGUUUUUCUGUAAUGUCACUUGGAAAUAUUGUCAGUUGCAAGUUGCAGCAGUCACAAUAAGUCAAAAAGCUGCACAUCAGGAAACGUGAAAGCAACUAUUGCACAAGGCUCAUUGGUCUUAAUGUCCCAUAACAACAUGAGGAGAAGACAGUUUUCAUUUGUGCCACAUUGACAGCCUCAGCCCACUGCUGCGACACGUCAACGCGUCCUGGUCCUGGUCCUCUGUCAUUCAGCUCAUUUUCCAUCUGACACCAGGCAGAGAGAACAGACAGACUGACAUGUUCCACACAGGAGUGACCGGGACAGAGUAAAUCCUGGAAACAGACAGUAAUAUCACAAGCUUUGUUGAAGGAUGCAGAUCUGAAGGUAAACUGAAGCAGGGCACUAACCUCUGGCACACAGCUGAAGGACGAUGUGCAGCAUGCCGAGAAAAACAGCUUUAAAAUGGGUCUUAUACCUACAGUGUUUUCUAUUGUGGAUAAUGUUGUUAUAAUCCACUACAGACAGGUUUGCAUUGACUAACAUUUAUUCUAGAUCUGUAAACAUAGUCUUGAUGUGUUUACAGUCUUGCUUCUACUGAAAAACUGCGGCUGCAUUUCCAUUACAUUUUUUCACAAAAUAAAAGCGAUGCUUCUAAA